ACACGGGGUCAGCAACCUUUCAGAAGUGGUGUGCCGAGUCUUCAUUUAUUCACUCUAAUUUAAGGUUUCGUGUGCCAGUACUACAUUUUAACUUUUUUAGAAGGUCUCUAUAAGUCCAUAAUAUAUAACUAAACUAUUGUAUGUAAAGUAAAUAAGGUUUUAAAAAUGUUUAAAAUUAAAAUGCAGAGCCCCUGGACCGCUGGCCAGAACCUGGGCAGUGUGAGUGCCACUGAAAAUCAGCAUGCGUGCCAUAGGUUGCCUACUCCGAGCUACGUUAUAGUUUUGUCUGAUGUGCACAUACUUUAAAUGUAAGCUAUCCAAAGCUCAAACAGAACGUCAUGAAAUAAUGAUUUUUCUAAAAUGCCAUACACUGGAUCUUUCAGUUGCUGGAGUUUGACCUCUAGUGACCUUCCCAUUCAUCUCUCUCAAAUCUAUUAGUCUUCCUGGACCUUUUCACUGCAAUAUCAUUUGGCCUAGUAAAGUAGGCUGAAAUCUUUCUUGAAGUCUUAUUGCAGGUUUUUCAGGUGACUGGAGGAUGGUGCUGUAGAAUAGCAAAGUUAUUCCAUGUUUAUAGGGCUGAGUUCAUGCUCUGUCCACAGCAUUUCCAGGGUUGGUUAGACUAGGGACCUGAUCUGAUCCUGUGUCAAUGAGGCCAAUAUAGUCUUAGUGGGUACCUGCACAAUUACAACUUUUGUCAGAUUUUUUUCAUAUACCCUAUUGUGAUUUGUAAGAAAUAAGAUUUGUUUUUGCUAAUGUUUCAGGAUUAGUUUGUGUUCGAGGCCCAUUGUCUUGCUAAAUUUAAAAGCAUGAUGAAAGUUUUAACAGUCUUAUGAUGGCAGCUUGUAUAUGUUGUUAAAGGGCUUAACUGAGUUAUGUUUUAGAGCUUCCAGCUGAUAGCAUUACUUGAACGUAUGCAAACAUAUAAGAGAAAAUUAGGUAGAGCAUUUCCUGAUCAUUCAACACACUCUGUAUAACCAUGUCUUUAAAUCAUUCAAAUCCACUCAUCUCAGCCUGAACUACUGUGGUGCUACCGCCGGAUAAUAUUCUAUUCUUCCUAUAUAUAUAUAUAGCACCUUUUGUCCUAAAGUGAUAAACUGUUGCAGGGAUACUUUUAUUCUAUUUAUUUUCUUUGGUUUUUUUUUUUUCCUUUCAAAUGUUGAUAUUGCUUGUCCCUUAAUAAAUGGUCAGGAAAAUAAAAUGUUCCUUAAACUCUAUGAAUACCUCCACCUAGUGGUAUGAGUUACACAUUAGAACACAGUACUUCACUUAUUCCAAAUGAAUGCCUUAAUCAGUUAAAGCCAAACUUUUCACUUUUUGAUAUUCCACUUAUACAGCUGCUGAAUUUUCAUAUUAACUUGGGAUACAAGAAGGGUCACUUCAUAUGCUGCCUAUUUCAACUUUAUUUAAGUUGGCAAUCUGCCUCUGUAUGAGAUUUCUAGUUUUUGACAUUUUGCAACCUGAACCAAAUAUGUUCAUUUUUUAAAAGCUUUUUUAUUUUGUCCUUGAGGUUCUGCAUUUUUGUUCUAGCUUUCAAAUAUAGAGUGGGGUAUUGGCAAAUAUAUUAUGCCUGGUAAUGUGCUGAAGCUCCAGUAUUUCUGAUGCUAAAUCUAAUGGACAUUGUUGAAAAUAAAACGUGAAAAUGAGGCAAAGA